UAGCUAGCUACACUUGAUAAUUUCACAGUUGAGAGUAGAGUAUACAUUAAAGAUGAUGCAGAAGCAGACGUUGGCGAUAGCUCUGGUGUGGCUCCUGGUUGCGUCGUCAAUCAUGAUGUGCGUGUUCGCAGCUGCAGACACUACUCCAUUGAAAACUGCUGACCAAGUUCUCCAUCCCCUAGCAGGUAAGAACCAACAUCCGAUCCUUUUGCUUUCGCAUCUGUUCUACAAAUUAAUAUUAAUCUGCAUGCAUACUAACUAUAUAUGCUUGCUAAUGGAUACAUAUAUAUACACUACUUGAAGGUUGUCGCUGCUGCAACUACAUUAAAGUGAGAGAGUUUUUCAAUUGCAACAAAGUUUGUUGUGUGGAUGGAUGUUGCGGUCGCAAGUGAAGCACCUGCAAUGAAGCUACACAGACAAUUAUAUAUAAUAUGAAUCAUGGUUGUGUAGUUGCACAAUAAGAUGAAUAAUGGUGGUCAAAAGUUGCAACAUCUCUGAAGCAAUUAAUCAACCNNNNNNN
rnacentral:lncRNA from 1 species